rnacentral:rRNA from 1 species
GAAUGCUGACAUAAGUAACGAUAAUGCGGGUGAAAAACCCGCACGCCGGAAGACCAAGGGUUCCUGUCCAACGUUAAUCGGGGCAGGGUGAGUCGACCCCUAAGGCGAGGCCGAAAGGCGUAGUCGAUGGGAAACAGGUUAAUAUUCCUGUACUUGGUGUUACUGCGAAGGGGGGACGGAGAAGGCUAUGUUAGCCGGGCGACGGUUGUCCCGGUUUAAGCAUGUAGGCGGAGGUUCCAGGUAAAUCCGGUACCUUUUUAACGCUGAGGUGUGAUGACGAGGCACUACGGUGCUGAAGUAACAAAUGCCCUGCUUCCAGGAAAAGCCUCUAAGCAUCAGGUAACACGAAAUCGUACCCCAAACCGACACAGGUGGUCAGGUAGAGAAUACCAAGGCGCUUGAGAGAACUCGGGUGAAGGAACUAGGCAAAAUGGUGCCGUAACUUCGGGAGAAGGCACGCUGAUAUGUAGGUGAAGUGAUUUACUCAUGGAGCUGAAAUCAGUCGAAGAUACCAGCUGGCUGCAACUGUUUAUUAAAAACACAGCACUGUGCAAACACGAAAGUGGACGUAUACGGUGUGACGCCUGCCCGGUGCCGGAAGGUUAAUUGAUGGGGUUAUCCGUAAGGAGAAGCUCUUGAUCGAAGCCCCGGUAAACGGCGGCCGUAACUAUAACGGUCCUAAGGUAGCGAAAUUCCUUGUCGGGUAAGUUCCGACCUGCACGAAUGGCGUAAUGAUGGCCAGGCUGUCUCCACCCGAGACUCAGUGAAAUUGAACUCGCUGUGAAGAUGCAGUGUACCCGCGGCAAGACGGAAAGACCCCGUGAACCUUUACUAUAGCUUGACACUGAACACUGGUCCUUGAUGUGUAGGAUAGGUGGGAGGCUUUGAAGUGUGGACGCCAGUCUGCAUGGAGCCAUCCUUGAAAUACCACCCUUUAAUGGCUGGUGUUCUAACGUGGACCCGUAAUCCGGGUUGCGGACAGUGUCUGGUGGGUAGUUUGACUGGGGCGGUCUCCUCCUAAAGAGUAACGGAGGAGCACGAAGGUUAGCUAAUCCUGGUCGGACAUCAGGAGGUUAGUGCAAAGGCAUAAGCUAGCUUGACUGCGAGAGUGACGGCUCGAGCAGGUGCGAAAGCAGGUCUUAGUGAUCCGGUGGUUCUGAAUGGAAGGGCCAUCGCUCAACGGAUAAAAGGUACUCCGGGGAUAACAGGCUGAUACCGCCCAAGAGUUCAUAUCGACGGCGGUGUUUGGCACCUCGAUGUCGGCUCAUCACAUCCUGGGGCUGAAGUAGGUCCCAAGGGUAUGGCUGUUCGCCAUUUAAAGUGGUACGCGAGCUGGGUUUAGAACGUCGUGAGACAGUUCGGUCCCUAUCUGCCGUGGGCGCUGGAGAAUUGAGGGGGGCUGCUCCUAGUACGAGAGGACCGGAGUGGACGCAUCACUGGUGUUCGGGUUGUCAUGCCAAUGGCAUUGCCCGGUAGCUAAAUGCGGAAGAGAUAAGUGCUGAAAGCA